UUGGAGGGCAAGUCUGGUGCCAGCAGCCGCGGUAAUUCCAGCUCCAAUAGCGUAUAUUAAAGUUGUUGCAGUUAAAAAGCUCGUAGUUGAAUUUCGGGAUCAAUGUUUCGGUCAUGCCGUUGGUAUGUACUGAUAUUAUUGAUUUCUCACCUUCUAAAGAACCGUAAUGCCAUUAAUUUGGUGUCACGGGGAAUUAGGACUGUUACCUUGAAAAAAUUAGAGUGUUUAAAGCAGGCUCACGCUUGAAUACAUUAGCAUGGAAUAAUGAAAUAGGACAUCCGAUUCUAUUUUGUUGGUUUCUAGGAUCGAUGUAAUGAUUAAUAGGGAUAGUUGGGGGCAUUAGUAUUCAAUUGUCAGAGGUGAAAUUCUUGGAUUUAUUGAAGACUAACUACUGCGAAAGCAUUUGCCAAGGAUGUUUUCAUUAAUCAAGAACGAAAGUUAGGGGAUCGAAGACGAUCAGAUACCGUCGUAGUCUUAACCAUAAACUAUGCCGACUAGGGAUCGGAUGAUGUUAAUUUUUUAAUGACUCAUUCGGCGCCUUACGGGAAAC
rnacentral:rRNA from 3 species